rnacentral:rRNA from 1 species
AACGAACGCUGGCGGCAGGCUUAACACAUGCAAGUCGAACGAGACCCUAGAGCUUGCUCUAGGUGACAGUGGCAGACGGGUGAGUAACGCGUGGCAACCUACCUUUUUCUACGGAACAACAGUUAGAAAUGACUGCUAAUACCGUAUACGCCCUCCGGGGGAAAGAUUUAUCGGUGAAAGAUGGGGCCGCGUUAGAUUAGCUGGUUGGUGAGGUAAAAGCUCACCAAGGCGACGAUCUAUAGCUGGUCUGAGAGGAUGAUCAGCCACACUGGAACUGAGACACGGUCCAG